rnacentral:misc_RNA from 1 species
CACAUCCAAAAGCCAACAUACUACAGAAUAAAAGCCGCAGACCCCUAGAGCUGUUCAAUGAGCAUAAGAUAAUUGAAUAGGCAGAAAGGUAGCGAUGAUAACUCAAGCAAGGAAUGAAAAGCUUCAGCAAUAACUUAUAGAGAUUGUAUAAUUAAUCAACCAGGACAAAUAAUUUCAGUUAGAAGAUCAAAAAAUGAAAAUAUCGGUCUCUAAG